UGGGGUAUAUUGCACAAUGGGCGCAAGCCUGAUGCAGCCAUGCCGCGUGUGUGAAGAAGGCCUUCGGGUUGUAAAGCACUUUCAGUGGGGAGGAAGGCGAUAAGGUUAAUAACCUUGUCGAUUGACGUUACCCGCAGAAGAAGCACCGGCUAACUCCGUGCCAGCAGCCGCGGUAAUACGGAGGGUGCAAGCGUUAAUCGGAAUUACUGGGCGUACAGCGCACGCAGGCGGUCUGUCAAGUCGGAUGUGAAAUCCCCGGGCUCAACCUGGGAACUGCAUUCGGAACUGGCAGGCUAGAGGCUUGUAGAGGGGGGUAGAAUUCCAGGUGUAGCGGUGAAAGGCGAAGAGAUCUGGAGGAAUACCGGUGGCGAAGGCGGCCCCCUGGACAAAGACUGACGCUCAGGUGCGAAAGCGUGGGGAGCAAACAGG
rnacentral:rRNA from 1 species